UAACAAGGAUUCCCCUAGUAACGGCGAGCGAAGCGGGAAGAGCUCAAAUUUGAAAGCUGGCACCUCCGGUGUCCGCGUUGUAAUCUCGAGACGUGUUUUCCGUGUGGCGCUAUGGACAAGUCCCUUGGAACAGGGCAUCGUAGAGGGUGAAAAUCCCGUACUUGCCAUGGAUGUACCAUGCUUUGUGAUACACGCUCUAAGAGUCGAGUUGUUUGGGAUUGCAGCUCAAAAUGGGUGGUAGACUCCAUCUAAAGCUAAAUAUCGGGGAGAGACCGAUAGCGAACAAGUACCGUGAGGGAAAGAUGAAAAGCACUUUGGAAAGAGAGUUAAAAGUACGUGAAAUUGUCGAAAGGGAAGCGCUUGAAGUCAGCCAUGCUGCUUGAGACUCAGCCUUGCUUUUGCUUGGUGUAUUUCUCGGUAGCAAGCCAGCAUUGGUUUGAGUCGUCGGAGAAGGGUACGAGAAAUGUGGCAUCCUCGGAUGUGUUAUAGGCUUGUACUGGAUACGACGAUUUGGAUCAAGGAACGCAGUGUGCCUCUGGCGGGUCUUCGGACACCUUCACACUUAGGAUGCUGGCGUAAU
rnacentral:rRNA from 1 species